rnacentral:rRNA from 1 species
AUUGAACGCUGGCGGCAGGCCUAACACAUGCAAGUCGAGCGAUAGUGGGACGGGGGUGUGUAGUCUGUGAAACUGCCUGAUGUAGGGGGAUAACUACUGUAAACAGUAGCUAAUACCGCCUACCAUCUGAUGUGCCCCGAUGGGAGUAGCUGGUGGGUGGGGUAACGGCGCACCUAGGCGAGGAUCCCGAGCUGGUCUGAGAGGAUGACCAGCCACACUGGAACGGAGACACGGUCCAGACUCCUACGGGAGGAAGCAGUGGGGAAGAGUGCACAAUGGGUGCAAGCCUGAGGCAGCCAUGCCGAGUGUGUGAAGAAGGCAUUCGGGGUGUAAAGCAAUUUCAGCGGGGAGGCGGUACCCGCAGAAGAAGCACCGGCUAACUCCGUGCCAGCAGCCGCGGUAAUUC